rnacentral:antisense_RNA from 1 species
CAGUUUUGGUGACUCGUCUCGCACAAGACAGUUACCUUCGGAAUAAAGAGUUGGUAGCUCUGAACUCCGGCAAACAAACCACCGUUGGUAGCGGUGGUUUUUUUGU